rnacentral:rRNA from 1 species
UACAGAGACUGCAAGCGUUAUUCGGAUUCACUGGGCGUAAAGGGUGCGCAGGCGGUUGUGUGUGUCAGGGGUGAAAGCCCGGGGCUUAACCCCGGAAUUGCGCCUGAACCUACAUGACUAGAGCAUUGGAGAGGGUAGCGGAAUUCACGGUGUAGCAGUGAAAUGCGUAGAUAUCGUGAGGAACACCAGAGGCGAAGGCGGCUACCUGGACAAUUGCUGACGCUCAGGCACGAAAGCGUGGGGAGCAAAAGGG